AGCCGAGCCGGCGGCGGGGAGGUUGGGUUUUUGCGUGCUCGGGGAAGUUUUCGGUGGCGGUGGCUCCGGAAAGGGGAGGACGGCGGACCGUCGGCAGCUGGGAUGUCGUCGUGACCAGUGAUUGGACCUCCUGGCAUGGAACUGAACUGGGUUGAUUUGUGGGAACUAUAAGAUUGCCAUCACGAAAGCCAAAGUGGAUUUCUCCGGGGUACUGUGCCUGCCCCCUUCCGUCAUUGCUGGAAAUGGGCUGGACGGAGGAG